CACCAGGUUGAUUCUGCCUGGUGUGGAUGCUAGUCUCAUAGGUUAAGCCAUGCAUGUGUAAGCAAAGCUAGAAGUGGAGCGGCGCAAGGCUCAGUAACGGGCGGACAUUUGAUCUUCUCGUGUGGACAUCCUCUGUAAGCGGAGGGAAAAACACAGGACGCGCGGACGCAGCCCGUGGGUGUAACGGCGGUGGAGAAGAGUAAGACGCCAUCCCAUCAGUUAGUAAGUAGGGUAAGGGCCUACUUAGACGAAGACGGGUACGGGGAAUGAGUGUUUGAUUCCGGAGAGGGAGCCUGAGAGACGGCUACCAGGUCCAAGGACAGCAGCAGGCGCGAAAAUUACCGCAGCCUGCCUCAGGGCGGUAGUAAGGAGACGUGAAUGCGAAGUGCUAGCAAAGAAAGCACUGACAACAGGAGGACAAGACUGGUGCCAGCACCCGCGGUAAUACCAGCUCCUGGAGUGUCUAUGAUGAUUGCUGCAGUUAAAGGGUUCGUAGUCUGAGCGGAACGAGGGGUGUGACGGGUCCCAGCUCAAGGGGGACAUAGCACCGCGAUGCCGCGGAACAAGGAGCGUCUAGGGGCCAGGGUAUUAAGCGACGAGGGGUGAAAUCUGGUGACUCGCUUAGGAGCAACAGAGGCGAAAGCGCUGGCCAGGGGCGAGUCCGAUGAUAAAGGACGUAGGCUAGAGGAUCGAAGACGAUUAGAGACCGUUGUAGUUCUAGCAGUAAACGAUGCCGAUGCCGUGGUGCCGCAAGGCGACGCGGAAGAGAAAUUGAGUAGGGCCCUGGGGAGAGUACACGCGCAAGCGAGAAAUUUAAAGGAAAUUGACGGAAGAACACCACAAGGAGUGGAGUGUGCGGCUUAAUUUGACUCAACGCGGGACAGCUUACCAGUCCCGACGAUCGGAGGAGUGUGUUACACGAUAGGUCGGAGAGUGGUGCAUGGCCGUUAACGACGAGUGGGGUGACCUUUGGGUUAAGUCCGUGAAGUAGUGAGACCCCUGCCGCAAGGGACAGGUGCCGAACGCACAGGAAGGAAGGGUCAAGAACAGGUCAGUGAUGCCCUCAGAUGGGCUGGGCUGCACGCGCACUACAGUGGUCGCAGAAAAGGAAGGAAAGAGAUAAAGGCGAUCGAGAGGGAACGAGCUUUGGAAGAGGCUCGGGAACGAGGAAUUGCUAGUAAUCGCGGGCUCAUUAGGACGCGAUGAAUACGUCCCUGUUCUUUGUACACACCGCCCGUCGUUAUCGAAGAUGGAGUCAGGCGCGAACAAGCGAGAGCGAGUGAGUGCAGGAUUCUAGAUGUGAUACAAGUCGUAACAAGGUAGCUGUAGGAGAACCAGCAGCAGGAUCAUAA
rfam:Loma acerinae 16S rRNA gene